CAGCGUGGACUAUUAUUAUAAUCUCUACUUAGCAGAUAGGAAAUUGAGUCCCAGAGAGGUCAUGGACAGAUCUGCAUAGAUCACCUGGGACGGUGAUGUGUCCCACCAGAGUCACACAGUUGGUGAGUGGGGCUCUGGGAUUUGAACUCAAACAAAGAUCCAGAGUCUUUGCUUUUAAGCACCACUGUAUACUCUACCCCACACCCACAUUCUCAAAGGGGACCUUGUCAUCUGAACUUGGAGGGGUCCCUCUGUGGAAUUUUUGUGCAACUUCUGGUUAAUGAUGCUUAGGUGGAUUUUGGCCUUUUGACUUCUUCCUGCAUUUUGCUUGGAGAAAUAAUGAUUUAUCAACAUGUUAUUCGAUGUGGGAAUAGCUGGAAUAAAAGUGUGCAGCCCGGCCCGUCCCACCCAUGAGCAACCUUAGUUCAGAAGUCCUCCCUGGCAUCCUGGCUUGACUCCACGGAGAGGAGGAGGUUCUUGGGGCUGAAGUUCACCACUAUUGUUUGGGGUGAAAUGUGUUUCUAGUUAGUAUAAAAUGCUUCUUAAACAGACGCUGUUUUCUGAAAUUUAAGAAACUAGUACUUACGCCAUUGGAUUAGCUAUAGAGUAGCUGGCUGAAAACGUGCUUUGGUACAGUGGAAAGGGCAGUUUGUAGAGAUCAAGGGUCUCUCUGGGUAUGGGGGGCUUGAAAUGAGUGUCACCUGGGUAGGAUGAGUGUGUAGGUAAAGGAUGGACCCAGGUAACUGGUUAAAUCGCUAGAUCCCUUAUCAAAGGAGUUUAUGAACAUUUUGAUUCACAAGUGAGGUGACAGAUCUUACCAGACUGCCCAAGAUCAUUAGGAGAAAACAGGCCUUCACCACCCCAGUCAGUCUUCGUGGGGCUGUAGUUAUGGUUGUCAUCCUUACUGCAGAGGGCUGGACAGAUGACCGAGGCUGGCCAGUUACAGUCCUGCCUCUUCCCCCUGGCCAAAUUGAUUCUUUGGGGAAAUGAACCGUGAACCCAAUCACCCAUUCUCACCUUUACUAGGACUUUGUGGAUAGAGUUUGACAAGGUGAUGCAGAAAGUCUUGUUUUUUACUGAGGGUGCGAAGCUGUGAGAACCAUGUACGGAGCUGUUACUGUCCAAUUUCUCUACCCACAGAGAGAAGCCGAGAUGAGAUACGGAGAGGUGGAGAUUGGAUCAGUAGAGCCUUGAUGCCUUCACUUGAGUACCUUGUUCCAGCUUUGCCUGAAGGCGCUCAUGAAUUGCUCCGCAAAAUAAGCUACUGGAUUCCUCUUCUUACUCAGCUUGUUUGAGCUGGGAGUCUGUCAUUCAGAAGAAAAAGACUCUUGACUAAAAUAGCAUGAGUGCAUGUGUUUCAAGCUCAUUAUUUGUCCUUUAACCCCUACAGGUGUCAGAGACGCAGGAAUGGAUAAGACGCAGACUUGGCCUCUGCAGGUGUCAACUUGCCCCUGGAGGUCUCAACGUCCUGUGCUCCCUGCCCUUGCCUCAGCCAUUCUCACACAAGUGACUGCGAAUCAGCUCGGGGUGCACGUUAGAAAUGCAAAUUCCUGAGCCUCAGCCUCCAGAAAUUCUGAUUCAGUUCCGUGCAUAAUAAACAAAGCCUCCAGUGGCUCGGGGCGUGGGUGUGUUCCAUGCCCCAUGUUGAGAAAUGUGCUGGCCACUCACCCAACACACCGCUUCAGUAACAUCUCUCAGCUGCACAGCAGGUAGGCAUGGGGGUAGGGUAUCUUUAGGAAAGUGUAUUGGAUUACUGGGUGGGAGGGGUCGAGUUCUGUGUAUGCAGCCACCUCCCUCCCCACCCCAAACUUCUUAGAUGAUUCAUGUCUCACCCACCCAGGGGUGGGGAGAACGCUAAGUGAGGAGUCUUUGCAGGGGUUCUUAGUAGAAAAGCCUGGGGAGAGUUUUAAAAACACUAUUGCUUAGGUCCUACUCAAAUAUGAAUCAGUCAGUGGCCCCGGGGGAUUCUAAUCAGCAGGAGGGUUGCAAACCAGUGCACCAGAAUCCCAGAAAUGAUUGGCAUCUGGGAGGCCAUCUGGGGCCCCUGGAAGGCCCUCUGGCCAGCCUGAGUCUUCUUGGCACAGGAUGGAAGGGAUGGAAAGAGAAGAAGUCCGUUACUGUCAAGGGCAAGGUGGUUAUGGCAGGUGGGGUGUUUGUAGGUACUUACCAAAAUGUAAUAAUAGGGCAACAAAUCAAUGAAAUAAAAUAGCAAGAAUGCACAAUAAAAAGUAAAAACAUAAAUAACAAGAGAGCGCUUUGUUGGGGAAAACAUCAUGAAGGUAUCUUAAGAACCAAGGAUUGUGAUUAAAACACCCACAUACCAGGGUGGGGGCAAUCAGGGGCUGGCCACACCUAGAGUUUUUUUGUUUUUUUUGUAUAUUCAGUUGUCUUGCAUAAACAAAUAUGAGAUCAACCCAGUUGGUGGGCGGGGUCAGUUCCUGACACUUCCUCAUUGAUAUGUGACUGUGUAAGCCAAUCCUGUGAACCCGAGGUCUGAAAACCAUUUAAGAGUUUUCUUUGAAAACAAAUGAGGCAAUCUGUCUGUAUCAUUACUGUUUCAAAGCUCUUGGUGCCCUUUCUUUCUCAGAGGUCCACUGUCUGUCGUUUCUGGGACUUGGGCCCCACCAGGAGGAGGCUGGGCACUGUGGGCAGAUAGGCUGCUAAACCCUCUGGGACGUGGCUUCCCCCUCCACAGGCAGCCCUGGGACUUUUCUGAGCCCUGGCCAGGUGUUUCUGAAGUCUGUCCAGAAAGCAACCUUUGCUGCUCCUGCACUGAUCUGGACAGUGUUAACCAGUCAUGACUCACCCCUGGGCAGUCUGAUAAAAAGGGCAAAUUUUUAGGCCCUUCCCUGGAGACUCAGGUUCAUCAGUUUGGGUAAGUGAGUUAUUAACAUGAGCUUCUGGUGGUUCCUGGGACCAGGGACAGCAGGGAAACAUCACCCUGAUGCAUCUCACCUGCUCACCCGACAGCCUCUCUCCUGUCCUUCCUGAUGAGCUGGGUUCCCCACAGACUUUGACAAAUGGGUCACUGUUCUUCCUGUUUGAAGACGACUCAUCCUGAAUGCAUGUGGCCUGGCAAAGAAAUUUGGUCCUAGUCUUAACCAAUGAGUAUGGAGUGCCUGCUGUAGGCCACGAUGAGGCUUGACUUUGGGGACACGAAGAUUAAACGAGACAGCUGGUCCAUGAAUUUCUGUGUGGAGGCAGCUCC